rnacentral:rRNA from 1 species
AGCAGCCGCGGUAAUUCCAGCUCCAAUAGCGUAUAUUAAAGUUGUUGCAGUUAAAAAGCUCGUAGUUGAAUUUCGGGAUCGGCAUGUCGGUCGUGCCUUACGGGGUAUGAACUGACAUCGUCGGUUUCUCACCUUCUGGAGAAUCGUGAUGCUCUUAAUUGGGUGUUACGUGGAUCCAGGACCUUUACCUUGAAAAAAUUAGAGUGUUUAAAGCAGGCAUUUUGCUCGAAUACAUUAGCAUGGAAUAAUAAAAUAGGACGGUUUGGUUCUAUUUUGUUGGUUUCUAGGAUCACCGUAA